rnacentral:rRNA from 1 species
UGGGGAUAUUGCACAAUGGAGGAAACUCUGAUGCAGCGACGCCGCGUGAGUGAAGAAGUAUUUCGGUAUGUAAAGCUCUAUCAGCAGGGAAGAUAAUGACAGUACCUGACUAAGAAGCCCCGGCUAACUACGUGCCAGCAGCCGCGGUAAUACGUAGGGGCGAGCGUUGUCCGGAAUUACUGGGCGUAAAGGGUGCGUAGGCGGUUUGGUAAGUUGGAUGUGAAAUACCCGGGCUUAACUUGGGGGCUGCAUCCAAUACUGUCGGACUUGAGUGCAGGAGAGGAAAGCGGAAUUCCUAGUGUAGCGGUGAAAUGCGUAGAUAUUAGGAGGAACACCGGUGGCGAAGGCGGCUUUCUGGACUGUAACUGACGCUGAGGCACGAAAGCGUGGGGAGCAAACAGGAUUAGAUACCCUGGUAGU